rnacentral:lncRNA from 1 species
GCCGGAGACAGCCCUGAGACCAGAAGAGAUGAUGAACAGAGGUACAAGGUCAUGACAAAUGUAGUGUGGCUACACAGAAGUGGUGCAACUGGAGCUCCCUCAGGGCAUGAGAAGCGAGCAGAAGCAAGAGGAGCACAUAGUGACCUUCACCUUGUGUAAUGGAGGUACACGUCUGUUUGCCCUGCAGCAGUGAAGGCCACCCUUGAAUUACAGAUGAGCCAAGCUGCGUUACACCUGCUGCGUUCACCCACAGAGACACUGUCUAUGUGCUGCAGACUCAUUC